rnacentral:rRNA from 1 species
CAGUGAGGAAUUUUCUGCAAUGGGCGAAAGCCUGACAGAGCAAUAUCGCGUGAGGGAUGAAGGCCUACGGGUUGUAAACCUCUUUUCUCAAGGAGGAAGAUCUGACGUUACUUGAGGAAUAAGCAUCGGCUAACCCUGUGCCAGCAGCCGCGGUAAUACAGGGGAUGCAAGUGUUAUCCGGAAUUAUUGGGCGUAAAGCGUCUGCAGGUUGAUUUAUCAGUCUUUUGUGAAAUCUCUAGGCUUAACCUAGAACCUGCAAAAGAAACUAUUUAUCUAGAGUCUAGUAGAGGUAAAGGGAAUUUCCAGUGGAGCGGUGAAAUGCGUAGAGAUUGGAAAGAACACCAAGAGCGAAGGCACUUUACUGGGCUAUGACUGACACUCAGAGACGAAAGCUAGGGGAGCAAACAGGAUUAGAUACCCGUGUAGUC